rnacentral:rRNA from 1 species
UACGGAGGGGGUUAGCGUUGUUCGGAAUGACUGGGCGUAAAGCGCGCGUAGGCGGACCAUCAAGUCGGGGGGGAAAUCCCGGGGCUCAACCCCGGAAUGGCCUUCGAGACUGGUGGUCUUGAGUUCGAGAGAGGUGAGUGGAAUUCCGAGUGUAGAGGUGAAAUGCGCAGAUAUCAGGAGGAACACCAAUGGCGAAGGCAGCUCGCUGGGACGGUACUGACGCUGAGGCGCGAAAGCGUGGGGAGCAAACAGG